rnacentral:rRNA from 1 species
UACGUAGGUGACAAGCGUUGUCCGGAUUUACUGGGCGUAAAGAGCGCGCAGGCGGUCGAUCAAGUCGAGUGUGAAAGCCCCCGGCUCAACUGGGGAGGGUCAUUCGAUACUGAUCGACUCGAAGGCAGGAGAGGGUAGUGGAAUUCCCGGUGUAGUGGUGAAAUGCGUAGAUAUCGUGAGGAAGACCAGUGGCGAAGGCGGAUCUCUGGACAGUUCCUGACACUGAGGCACGAAGGCCAGGGGAGCAAACGGG